rnacentral:rRNA from 1 species
AGAGUUUGAUCCUGGCUCAGGACGAACGCUGGCGGCGUGCCUAACACAUGCAAGUCGAACGCGCUCCAUUCGGUAGCAAUACUGAUGAAGAGUGAGUGGCGAACGGGUGAGUAGCACGUGAGCAACCUGCCCCGAAGAUUGGGACAACACCGGGAAACCGGUGCUAAUACCGAAUAUCCCUACCGGAUCGCAUGAUCUGGUAAGGAAAUGUUUUUUCGCUUCGGGAGGGGCUCGCGGCCUAUCAGCUAGUUGGCGGGGUAACGGCCCACCAAGGCAUCGACGGGUAGCUGGUCUGAGAGGACGAUCAGCCACACUGGGACUGAGACACGGCCCAGACUCCUACGGGAGGCAGCAGUGGGGAAUCUUGCGCAAUGGGCGAAAGCCUGACGCAGCAACGCCGCGUGGAGGACGAAGGCUUUCUGAGUUGUAAACUCCUUUCAGCAGGAACGAUAGUGACGGUACCUGCAGAAGAAGCACCGGCCAACUACGUGCCAGCAGCCGCGGUGAUACGUAGGGUGCAAGCGUUGUCCGGAUUUAUUGGGCGUAAAGAGCUCGUAGGCGGUUUGAUAAGUCGGGUGUGAAACCUCCAGGCUCAACCUGGAGCCGCCACUCGAUACUGUCAUGACUUGAAUAUGGUAGGGGACCACGGAAUUCCUGGUGUAGCGGUGAAAUGCGCAGAUAUCAGGAGGAACACCAGCAGCGAAGGCGGUGGUCUGGGCCAUUAUUGACGCUGAGGAGCGAAAGCGUGGGGAGCGAACAGGAUUAGAUACCCUAGUAGUCC